GACGAACGCUGGCGGCGUGCUUAACACAUGCAAGUCGAACGGUAAGGCCUUUCGGGGUACACGAGUGGCGAACGGGUGAGUAACACGUGGGUGAUCUGCCCUGCACUUCGGGAUAAGCCCGGGAAACUGGGUCUAAUACCGGAUAGGACUGCGCGGUGCAUGCCGUGUGGUGGAAAGAUUUAUCGGUGCAGGAUGGGCCCGCGGCCUAUCAGCUUGUUGGUGGGGUAAUGGCCUACCAAGGCGACGACGGGUAGCCGGCCUGAGAGGGCGACCGGCCACACUGGGACUGAGACACGGCCCAGACUCCUACGGGAGGCAGCAGUGGGGAAUAUUGCACAAUGGGCGCAAGCCUGACGCAGCGACGCCGCGUGAGGGAUGACGGCCUUCGGGUUGUAAACCUCUUUCAGCAGGGACGAAGCGUGAGUGACGGUACCUGCAGAAGAAGCACCGGCCAACUACGUG
rnacentral:rRNA from 1 species